GACGAACGCUGGCGGCGUGCUUAACACAUGCAAGUCGAACGGAAAGGCCCUGCUUUUGUGGGGUGCUCGAGUGGCGAACGGGUGAGUAACACGUGAGUAACCUGCCCUUGACUUUGGGAUAACUUCAGGAAACUGGGGCUAAUACCGGAUAGGAGCUCCUGCUUCAUGGUGGGGGUUGGAAAGUUUCGGCGGUUGGGGAUGGACCCGCGGCUUAUCAGCGUGUUGGUGGGGUAGUGGCUUACCAAGGCUUUGACGGGUAGCCGGCCUGAGCGGGUGACCGGCCACAUUGGGACUGAGAUACGGCCCAGACUCCUACGGGAGGCAGCAGUGGGGAAUAUUGCACAAUGGGCGGAAGCCUGAUGCAGCAACGCCGCGUGCGGGAUGACGGCCUUCGGGUUGUAAACCGCUUUCGCCUGUGACGAAGCGUGAGUGACGGUAAUGGGUAAAGAAGCACCGGCUAACUACGUG
rnacentral:rRNA from 1 species